rnacentral:snRNA from 1 species
UCAGCCCUUUGUCGCUAAGAUU